GCUGGGUGUGGUGGCACGUGCCUCUAGUCCCAGCUCCUCAGGAGGCUGAGGCGGGAGGGUUGCUUGAGUCCAGGAGUUCUGGGCUUCAGUGCAUUAUGCCAGUUGAGUGUCCGCACUGUUUAGCAUCAGUAUGGUGACUUCCCGGAAGUGGGGUACUGCCAGGUUGCCUAAGGAGAGGUGAACUGGCCCAGGUCAGAAAUGGAGCAGGUCAAAACGGUAGUGCUGAUCAGUAGUGGGAUCUCAGCUGUGAAUAGCCGCUGCAUUCUAGCCGGGGCAAUAUAGUGGUAGG
rfam:Fukomys damarensis contig125220, whole genome shotgun sequence.